AUCAUCGUGGUUUCAGGCAGGAUUUUAGUAAUACCUUAGUCUGCUUUAUAAGAGCCUGAAUGUAAUUAAUAAUUUACCAUUGAAUUUCUCACUACAGUGCUCACUGUGCUCCAUGGCAAAUGCUGUACUAUUUACACAGUCCCCAACAAGAGACUGGAGGACCGAGGACAUGGCGUUUAAGCAGAUUAGCAGUUGUCGUAAUGGUCAUUUACAGCUGAGAGUAAAUUAAGAAAUGGCUGAAGUUGUUCUAUAUUCAGGUGCAGUUCUCGUAUUCUGAGGUUCUCCUGCCAGACACAGAGGUGACUGUAGCAGUAAAAUUCAGUUCUUUCGCAGCCACGCAUUGCCUGUUCCACACUUAAGAGUUCACAUAAACACCUUAAUAUUCUGAAGAGACAUGAGAAAGAUACCGUCUUUUUCCUGCAGAGCUGUGCAAAAGAUAUUGAAGAGUUGUGGACCUGGGAAACAAGUGAUAUUUGUAGUCAGAGAACAAAAUGGCCAACUGAAGAACAUAAACAAAGAGUUUAAUUGUAGAAAAAGGAGCUGGAAGAGAAUCAAGAGGUCAUUGCCCGUUCACAAGACAGGAUCAGUGGUACCGCCAUGUGUUGUCAGAAGCUGGGAAGAAGCUUGCAGGUUGGCCAAAUCUUU
rnacentral:lncRNA from 1 species